rnacentral:rRNA from 1 species
CGUAGGUGGCAAGCGUUGUCCGGAAUUAUUGGGCGUAAAGCGCGCGCAGGCGGUCCUUUAAGUCUGAUGUGAAAGCCCACGGCUCAACCGUGAGGGUCAUUGGAAACUGGGGGACUUGAGUACAGAAGAGAAGAGUGGAAUUCCACGUGUAGCGGUGAAAUGCGUAGAGAUGUGGAGGAACACCAGUGGCGAAGGCGACUCUUUGGUCUGUAACUGACGCUGAGGCGCGAAAGCGUGGGGAGCAAACAGGAUUAGAUACCCUGGUAGUCCACGCUGUAAACGAUAAGUGCUAAGUGUUAGAGGGUUUCCGCCCUUUAGUGCUGCAGCUAACGCAUUAAGCACUCCGCCUGGGGAGUACGGCCGCAAGGCUG